GGGGAAACAGGUUAGCGAUACCUACAGUACUCAUGUUUACCGGAUACUGAAUAAUUGAACAGCCAGGUGGAGGUGGAGUUGGAGGAAUAUGAUUUGAAUGAUUAUAGUGGAUAGUGUAGUCUUGACAACUGGUAUAAUUAUACUCUGUAAUAAGAUCAAUAUUGUGACUACGGUGGCAUUUGAACAGGGUUAGAACGGUUAGGGUGGGUACUGGUGUGAAAAAAACAGAAGGAGAAGGGGAAGAAGUUAAGUUGUCGAUGAAGUCACAUACGCUAUGUUUCAAGUUCUAUUGAAGCUGCUCAUCUUGAAUUAUUAUGGUACCACCCUGGAUGUUUUUCACCUCAAAAUGUCUUCCUCCCCUUUCCAGUUGGAUCUGCGGAGUCUCUUCAGUGCAAUUUACUACUGUGCGCAAUCCGCAUUCUGGAUUUGUUUCAUUGUUGAAGGGAAAGCGAAGCCAACCUAGUUUUCCACAUUUGAACAAUGAACAAUUUGAAAGGUGUUUCCAUUCUUUUUCAGCAGAAGAAAGAAGCACGAAAUGAGAGAGAAUAAAUAGAACAAGAAAAGAAACAAAUCCCAUGCGAAAUCCCCAAUACAACAAAAGCACUGGCACCAUACCGACGGCAACAUGGUGGGCCGAGAGUCUUGGGAAAGAGACUUUCUCCGGGUGGGCCAAGAGUCUUUAGUAGCCCAUGUGAAAUAGGCCAUCAUUUUCCAUUGGCCAACAAAUAGACACCCCAAUCCACAAUGGGAGUUUCCAACUCACCUUCUUCAUCGCUUAGAAAGAAUUGACUUGCUGCGGUUCUUAAUGCUCAAAAUCAGGACAUAAAAACAGUGGGGUCUUGUGGAGCAAAAGUAGAAGACGGGGUAAAGGGAAAAGAUAAAACAUGAUAGGUCAUAGAUUAAUGGGUACUUUGGUAGUCCCUCGAUAUCAAGGAACCCUUUCCUGGGGCAAGGGUAGGUGCGUGUGAGAGGAAUUCUAGUCUUCAUAUGUUUUGACACUCUGGCUAAGGCUUUUCCUUAGUUUCAGGGAUUCGCACCUCCCUUUUCUGUGGAUAAAAAUAAAACUCAAAGAUAGUAUACGGUCCAACGUCAGGUUGGUCGACUUGCUUAUUAACCCAUAACAAGGAAAGGGUUAAAAUAAGCCAUAAGACAUGAGAACUAAAACCAAACCAGUCUGGAAGGAAUGAAGGAACCUUCCUGUUCUCAUUUCGUAGAGUGCAUAAUUUUCAAAAAUUUACCAAAAGAACCAAAUAAUAAAUAAAAGUUAGAAAAGGCAGUUAGUCAUUCUUUGCCUCGCCGUCAUUGCAAUGUUUGGUAUGAGGUCGAUCAGGGCAAAAACACACUGCAUCAUUAUUUUCAUCAGACCCACGACCAAUGCUUAGUUGGCACUCAAUGCAGUUGAUACCAGUCCAUUCAAGACUAAAUCCAUUCUUCAGUAACUCUAUGUAGUCCAUACUCUCCACUGUUUGAUCAUACUGCCUUUUGGAUGUUGUAAAGAGAGGUUUAUUUUCUUCAUAAAAAAUUCCAAAGCCUGGUAGCCACAGAAGCCUGUUCCUGUAUUAUAGAUAUCAAACGGGUAGCUUAAGUUUGGGCCACUCCAACUGUUCUUAGGCUUGCAUGCUUCACACUUGUGGACAACUGGUGCAUAUAAUUCCACUACAAAGGUGCAAAUGAGGAUACUGAUCCCAACAUAGAACAAGUAGUGUAGACCCAUUUGGAUGGCCAUUGUUGAAGAACAAGGAGCCGAGAGAAAAAGGACCUAUGAAGGCAUGCCGCGUGAAGAGUAACUCAGAAUGACAUAAAUAAGUCACCGUCAAUGAUUCCAAAAUCUUUCUCACCAUCGAGUGUUUAAUUUGACUGGAUUUGAAAUGCUUCAUCUAGAGUUCAAAUAUUGUACAAUAUCUUUUAGUUUUUCACAGUGGAAGGGUGGACAAUUUGGAGGGUAUUUCCUUUCUUCUCCCGCAGGGGAAAGAAACACAGGAUGGGAGAGAAACAAGAUGAGAAAGGAAGCAGUGGCCACUCAAAGUGAACACCAAGAAGCAGAAGAAUUGACUUCUCCCAACUUUUUAUUAGAAUUUCAUCAAAGACUAGUGGAAACUGACUGGUUGGUGUUGGGGAAAAAAAAAAAAUCCCGCAUACUGAAUGGGCCAGAGAUCAUACAGCCUUGCCUUGUGUCACGUGUCACUUCACCAUUUUUUUUUUUUCAUAAUUCGCCCUUCCAAAGAAUUUGGGCAAGAAGAUGAACAAGCACGGGACUCCUGUUGCCGUUCUCUUAUUUUCGGUUCUUUCAACUGGUACGUGGAUUUUCUAGAAAUACUGAUCUUUUUUCUAAUUGCUGGCCAAAGUCUCCACUGGGGUAGUAUCCGACUCACCUCCCCCUAUGGAAAGACUCGACUCCUUUAGUAUUUUGCAAGCCACAAAUAGAUAAGCACAAGCCUUUUGUGGAAGUUUGAAACGUCAAGAUGAGAAAUUCUCACCUAGCAUCUCCUGCCUCUCUGCUCUCUGAUUCAGUUUGAGCUCCUCCUUUGGCAGGCCAUUUGUUGCCUUGUAGCGUCAAGCGUGGAUAUUAGUUUAGGACUAGAACAUCAUAUCGUAUUCAUCACCCUCUCCAAUAUAGCCUUGGGUUGGGUCCUGCCACUAUGAAUGGAACUUCUGGAUAUCUGAAAAUGUGAUCUCGUUCCAAAUACGACUCUUUUAUAAUGCCUCCAACUUAGGUCUCCUACUGCAGACCAGACUACUUGUUUUUCAUGUGUACUUUCUGUGUCAAAUUUUAAUAAACAUUAAAUUCAUCUACAUGAACUUCAAAACAGUCAUAUGGAGCAUACCCUUGCAUAAGCUUAAUAUCCUAGGUUGGAACAAAUUGAUAGGAUCCCUUUUUUACGUCCCCGUGUAAUUUAAAUGCAUUGAGUCUUGCUUUGCACUUGGAAACUAGGCACACACCAUCCAGGUUUUGUAAAGCAUCUUAAGCAGGUACUACCAAAGAAUCUAUGCCAUAAGUUAAAUUGAUAUAAGCAUUCACUUCAACCACCAUUUGUAUACCAGCAGAGUUGAGGGUAGCUUCAGAUCUCGGAAGACACAUCCCAAAACACAAUUUAGGAGUUCCUAAAACUAACUCUUCUUCAGAUAAUGAAACUAAUUUUGCAUUAUUUGGAGAGAUUACAUAUACAUUUGACACAACAUUGUAGUGAGAUUCAAACAAUUGCCCCAGUUGAGGAAAAUGGGAUUAAAAGAAUAGACUGAAGGGGAAAAAAUGAGGCAAAACAAUAACAGAGUUAUACAACUUUAAUUCCACUGGGACGUUUUCCUUCCAUGGCAUCCUUCUUAUUACGGCAAUCAGCACAAAGAAAUGGCCCCUGCCAGGGCUUUGAGCUGGUGGAGAAGAUGGAACCAGCAUGAACAGAAAUGCCCUCGCUUGGAGCAAGAUCAACUUGGCAAACAGCACACAUGAAAAGACCAGAUGUAGGCUGCCCUGGGCACUCCUCACUUCCCAGUCUGCAAAGCAUGCAAUGGAGGGGAGAAAUUUCCCUUCAGUAUUUUACACCACAAGAAACAAAAGAAUGGAAAAACAAUAUCCAAAUGAAAGACCAAAUGAAUAAGAUAAUUAAAUUUUACAGAGGAGCAAACAAGAACAUGAAUUCCCAUAUUGUGAAACUGCAAAGAAAGGUAUAUCAUGGAGCAAACUCCAGUGAGAAUUAAGAUGAAAAUCUGUAAUAUUGCAGUCUCACUAAAGAAAAUGGUCUUAUUAAUGGUAAUCUUCAAACUAUUCAUGCUAUUCUCUGACCAUGAACUCUUGGAUAUCAGAUAUUGGCUUAUAUGAAACACAUGUUGGUUCCUAUACUGACUGAAAAUCUUCUUCCAGAAAACCUAUGAUGUGGUGGGACACUGGCCCAUUGGAAAGGUAAAAUACAGUCUGCUAUAGCUAGAUCUGGUACAAAGAAAAAAAAAACUAAUCCAUGGCACAUUAACAAUCAAGUCACGAUUUGUCUUCACCUUCUAGUGUGACAACCACUGAAGCAACAAGCAUUGGACAUAACCUGAUUCAAUCUAAUGAAGCAAAAUACAUUAAAACUGACUCACUUAACUAGAGAGAAGCUUAAAAGCAAUCCCAUUCGGACGCAUUAUUUGAGGCUGUACAGCAAUAAACAGAUAUUUUAAUUAAAGGAGUGAGCAUUCCUCUGCUCCAUAUUAAUCUUAACCUGUUGGCAUUGCCAACAUUCUAUACUCCAACUUCAAUGGUAAUGUCAAUCAGUUAAUAAACAAAGUAGUCAAUAUUGCUUUAUUAGAGGGUAUCUAUGCAACUUAACAUCAUAAAUUACAAAUAAAUAAUUAGACAGGAGAAAAUACAAGAUCCACCAUCUUUCUUUCUCCUUCUAUCAUUCUUCUUUAUCCUUUUCCUUUCCUUUUAACCUACACACCUUGGAAUACUUUCUCUUAUUUCUUUCUGCUUGUCUUUAACCGACAGAAUAAGUUACUUAUGCAAAAAGAGAAAAAAAAAGGCCAAAGUUCUAUGAGAAAGAAGCUCUAGCAGAUAAAGGAACAAUUAAAAAAGAAAGAUAGCCUGCAGUGCAAGGUAGUGAGUAUCUCAGAUUGCUCUAGAAAUCAAAAUCUGUAUGUGCAAAUAAAAAAAGACUCUACUAACCUCUCAGCAAGCAUUGCUGAGCCUUCUUCAAACAGUUCUUCCACUAUACCUAUAGCUGAUAGCUUCUUUGAUAGUUUAUUCACAGAAUCACGUGACCUCUUCCUGAAUAAUAGAGCUCUGAGCUUGUUUUGCUUUUUUGGAGGAGUUGAAGGCUGUAUUGAAUUAUCAGGAGGAAUUAUGUCUACAACUAUGCAGGUAGUGUCAUCCUUUAGGCCCCUUGUCCUCAAUGCUUCCUGUACAUUGCAAUGUCAAAUGAAAUAAGAAAGAAUUCUAAGAAUCCAUUGGAAAGUACACAUACCAUAAAAUAAAAAUUUGACUUUAUCUCAUUCCUAUAUCACUGAACAGAGGCUAUGCUUAGCCACAUGUAAGAAGGUGAUGGAAAGUUCAUCCAGGACUAGUAAGGAGAAAUAGCUUGGUAAUGAGUUCAAUCACCUUCACAACUUGCCUAGCAGCAAGUUCAGCAGGCAACCCACGGCAAGAUUUUGCAGCCAUUUCUGAGCACAGAGCAUCCCAAAUGCCAUCAGAAGCAAUUAUAAGUCUCCCACCUACAUUUGAUAGCUUUUGUACCAAUGAAGGGUGUUAGGAUUCAAGUUGAUGAAAACCUAACAAUGUCCAGCUCACAAGAUGUGUUUCACAGUCAAAAGAGGUACAGUGGUGAGUUGGCAGCCUAUCAGCUUUAGAACUGCCUAAAAGGAUUCACGUUUCAUGAGCAAGUAGAACAAGCCAAAUAAAAUGAUAAAUACCUUUACUUGUUUAACAUAUGGUAUUGGAACUAUGAACUCUCCAACAUCCAUAUCUCCUAUUGACCUAGAAAGACAUAAACCCCCUGGCCAACAACGGAGCGGACCAAUCUGCAAAAUUUGACCAAUAUAUAUCACACAACAUAAAAUGAUACUUUUUAUUUUAAAACUACCAAAGAGACUACUGCGUUUGUUACCCGGAAAAAAAAAAGGAUGUGAGAACUAAAAACAACUUACUUCAGCACCACCAACAAUGCUAAGUCUUCCUACUUCACCUCCACUUGCUGUCACACGUUCCCUCCUGCAAUUGAAGAACAACCCACUUCAUAAGUAUAUAGAAACAGCCAAACAAAACAAGAGGCUCUGAGAGAUGGACACUCACUCCUCCACAUUUUCUUCAAGCCUAUGAUCGACAGUUAAGGUAGAGACAGCACCACCCUGAGUAUCUAAUAUGCAUCGAGAGUCGCCAACAGAUGCAACUGUCACAGUCCAUCCAUCAACUAUUACAAAUGUAGCAGUGGUUCCAGAAGUUUCUCCUGAAGUUAUUAAGAUGGGGAUAUAGUGCAUUAGUUUCAAGGCAUAACAAAUAUGGUUGAAAGAUAAAAAGAAAAAAGAAGAAAAGGUGAGUUCUCCAAAUUCCGUGCCUCUGCUCUGGAAUUCUUUGUCCGUCUUUACAAACCCAGCAACUAAAGCCCGAGGCAAAGCUUGAAGCCACUCCUCCCGUCCAAGCCCACGAGGCAUAGCACCCAAUACAUGAUUCAACAAAUUUUCCCUCGUAAAAAUGGCUGCGGCAUUCCCAUUGUGUCCAUCUAAGAUCUGACAAUCAGAAAGAACAGUGCCCAUCCCAUAAGAGAACAAAGAUAAACCAACCAUGUCGCAUCAAAUUAAAUGCAACUUAUCAAGUUUCAGUAAAAUCAAACACGGAAAGGAAAUUCUAAAAUUCUUUAUGUUGUUGCAUUCAUGGUAGAGAUCAUUAUAGUGACAAAGAGUACAUUACCGCAAAUACAGAAAAGGUUGAAGAAGAAUUCCCAGGGAUUCUCUGGCAAUCUGUCUUCAUCAGGAAGUAAUCCUCUCCUUUCCUAGACUGAGCAGCACACCCGUAUCUCACAGUCGGCUUCUCCAUCUUUUCACUCCUCAUCUCUCUGUUGAUCAAUGCAGCAAGAGGCACAAGAUUCCGAUGUCGUCUCCCUUCUCCCGACGCCAUUUCCAGCACACCUAUCUCUUCAAUGCAGACCCAACACCUCCAAAGCACCAAAUUCUUUAUAUCAGCGGCAUCAAUUCCCACGUCUCAAUCAAAAUCCAAAUUCAUAUUCAAUAAACCCUGAAAUGUCUUUUUAAGCUUCCGAAUCAGCAAUUCUCGUAAAUAUCACAAACCCACAAACCGCGUUGGUUCAAUAAUCACAACUCCCUAUUCAACCACAAAUCUCGAAUAUCCUCUAGAUCAACUCCAAACUAUCAGACUUGAUCUGCAUUCAUCAUCAACAAAACACAGACCAAUGUCACAGUUAAGUUCAAGGAUCUGUGGCAGAAUUUAUCAUUCAACAAUUAAACACCACCCCCUGCUCGUUUCCUCAGAAAAGUCAAGAAAAGACAAACAAACUUCACACUAAAUAUUUUUUUUUUCCCUUUUCCUACAUUUGCUCAGAAACCAAGUCCCAACAGAAAAACAAAAGUAAACCAAACUACCACGAUAUUGCCUCAAUGCCUUCGGCGACAAGCCAGUAGAUCUGACUGCGAAAACAGCCCGCGAUAAGCAAAGCAGAAAGGGAAGAAGAAAACAACACGUAAAAGAAACGCGGAUUGAUGACAAGAUAUGAACUGUAAAACGCCCAAUCUUCAAUCAACCCAAAAAAAAAAAACAAAUAAAGAAAGAAAGAAAGCAAGAAUUUUUAAGAACUAACCGGGUCAGCUUCAGAACCUCCACCUCCACCUCCACCCCACAGUCCAAAAUAAAGAUUUUUAAAAUAUUUUUGAGUGGUAGCGAAGAUAGCUUCACUUUCUUUUCAAUUGAAAGAUGGAAAGUGAGCAAUAAAGUAGCUUUGCUGACUUAAAGCAAUUUGCCCACGACUCAUAUUGCCGCUUCUGUUAAAAGUCGGUUACCCCCAAGCUCAGAAAAGAUUUUUGACAGGAAAAAAGGAAUGAUGGCUAGGGUUUUCACUUUCUGUUCCUGUUUUACCACACCCCCAGAUCCUCCUAAAGAUGGUUUUCCUUACCUGAAAGGAAGAGCCAAGAAAAAAAGAGAAAAAAAAAAAGGAAAUUGCAGAUAAAAGCUGACACCUACCCAACGGCAUUGCAAGUGUUUCUGUGGCACAGUGGCAGUAAUGAUUUGGGCAUCUACUUGGGUUCACCAACAGUACGCUACCCUCCAUUGAACUGGAGACUUCAAACAUCCACAUACAUACAUGUUCAAAAAAAGUUGAUCAUAAAUUAAAAAGCUUCAUUGAGUUGAAUAAUAUUCCUAAUUUUUAUAAUUUUAUUUUAUUCUGUUCCUUAGAGGAUAGAGAAGUAUUUGAAUAGUCUAUACCAUAUACAGCACCAUUGGUUGUGUUUCCAUUGUCAAGGUGUCCACCGACUCUCUAGCCAGAUAUGCCAUUGAUUUAGGGUCCAUUAUUAAUGGCAAAUAGGGCACCCUUAUGGUGGAAGACUAGUAAUAUAAAAAAAUUGAUGUAAAGAGGUCCCAUAAAUCAAUGCUCUUCCUCAAUAAGUGGCUAUAGAAAUGCUAGUAAAUUGGGUGAAGCAUAUCGGCAGUAGCAUUAAAUUGGAGCUCACCAGUUUGAUAAUGAAGUGCAGAUGAGAGGAAUAUCGGUGUGGUUGGGAGUUGCCUGCAUCCUUCCAUGCUGACUCAACCUCUAUAAUUGAGUUGGGUUUGCAAUAAAAAUAAUGUUUUAUGAAAAAUAAAAAUAAAUCUAUACUUUUUCAAAAUACCCACCAAAUUAGUACUCCCUUAUAUCCUUUUUUUUUUUUUUUGUCAAAACCAUAAUUUGGAUUUGGGAUUUAAAGUUAAGACAACAAUGGGUGAUUGUAGUUUCAAUAUUAUGAUAAAAACAUGACUCUUGAUUAUGGUUUUAACUUUAUGUUAAAAUUAUAAGUGAUGGUUGCGGUUUUAACAUAAAUAAUAAUAAUAAUAAUAAUAAUAAUACAUGCAUACACACAUGGAUGUUAAUAUGGUAGAGAACCAUUAGUUAUUAAUGAUAAUUUUUUUGAAAAGGGAUGUAAAUUUAGAAUUUUCUUUUCAAGGAACAUUACUUUUGUGACAAACUUUUCCUAUUCUUCAAAAACAAUCUAUGCUCUUUCAAUUCAUUUUUGUGUUGUUACUUUAUGUUAUGGUCUUUGUAAAUAUUCAAAUCAUUUUAUUGGAUCUCAAGACUCGAUGCAAUUUUUAGGAUAGACAAAUUUUGAUACAAUUCAUUGACAUAAUUGUUUCUUUUUUCUUUUUCUUGUUUUGGUCAAAACCAUAAUUUUGAUUUUAGAUUUAAAGUUAAAACAAUAAUUAGUGAUUAUAGUUCCAAUAUUAUUAUGAUUAAAUUAUGACUCAUGACUAUAGCUUUAACUUUAUGCUAAAAACUAUAAUUGAUGAUUGUGGUUUUAAUAUAACAAAAAAAACAAGCACACAAGUGGAUGUUGAUGUGAUGGAGAACCAUUAGUUACUAAUGAUGAAUAUUUUGAAAAGGGAUCUAAAUUUAGAUUUUUUUUUCAAGAAAAAUUACUUUUUGUGACAAACUAUCCUUAUUCUUCAAAACAUCUUAUGUUUUUUUGGUUCAUUUUUAUGUUAUUACUUCAUGUUAUGGCCUUUGUAAAUAUUCAAAUCAUUUUAUUGGAUCUCAAGCCUUGAUAUAAUUUUUAGAAUGGACAACAUUUGAUAUGAUUCAUUUUCAUGAGUUUAAAUUAAAUAUAAACAUAUUUGGAUCAAAUUCUAUGUCGAUUUAUAUAAAUCAUUUAAUAAAUAUGUAAUUUUUGGAUUAAUCAACAUAGUUCGAAUUUAAUAUGACUCUGACUUAUUUAAUAAUGAUAUAAGCCAAUCUAAUUAUAAACAUAACUUAUUUAACAUAUUUUAUAGGUCAAUUGAAUAAUAAGUAUGUCAAAUUAAAAGAUUAAUAGUAUUGAUUCAAAUAAAAUCUAAUUCAACCUAAUUAUUAAAUAACAUAAUUCCUAUUCUUAUUAUUCGAUGUAUAUCAAUUGUUUGAGUUUAACACUGUAGGAAACACCAACAUGAAUUCUGAACAGUACCUAUUUCGUAUGCAAGGAUUGCAGAUGGGAGUCGGUCUUAUUUGAAUGAAAAGAAGGAAGAAAGGAAGAAAAUUUUUUAUAGGAAGGGACAUCACCAUGCUACAUGGUGAAGGCUAAUUAUGAGAAUGGUGGUGAGACAUAUUAUUGAAGUCUCAUAAUGACAAUUCCAUUGCAUCCCAGUGGCACAAAUUCCAACUUGUAUGUAUAAGAAUCAAGCUUCCACCAACCUGAAAUUUUCUUGAGAAUCUCGAAGCCAAGCAGAUCCCUUGAAUCAAUCAAUCUUAUUUGUUCCUUCCACCAUGCUUCCAACACAAGGGUAUUCAUUUGAGGCCAUUAAUCUAAACAGGCUGUGAGAGUGGCCCUUUCUGGGCCCUUUGUGUCCGCUUAAAAGGGACACCCACCCACUGCUCACCAGCCUGGGCCCUCUGUUCAAGAUACCCAUCCUACUCGACAAUGCCCACUCAGAUUUACAGGUGAGAUGGGUGCAUUGCAUGGUGCCUGAUUUUGAGGCUUCCAGUUCCACGCUCGCCAUCACUCAGAAAACUCUGCAACAAAACCCCAUAUCCACGUAUGGCACACAUAUAUAAUUUUCAGCCUUUCAGAGCCACUGCUGUUUGCACACCCCACCAAGUUGAAAGAGGAUUAAUCAAUGCAUAGCAUGGUGGAUGACUGUGAAUAUGUAACAAAAUAUUUGGAUUCUGUUUACAUUUCCAUGGCCAGUUUUUUUCCUUUUUUCUUUUUUUCAUGAUGAUGGUGGCUUGUAUUGCACCUAUUAGAUCUACCCUAAUUCUCCCAACAUGGUGAGUUAGACCAAUCAAAUCUCCAAUUCUCUCAUGGCAGUUGCCUUUGGUGGCAGUCAUAGUCAAGGACUAGUUCACAAGUCAAUUUCUUUGGGCACCCCAUUUGUUAUCUUUUGCUUGUUUUGCAUUGCAAUUCUGUGUGGAUGUUGCCAAUAUAUCACAACUGACGUACUAACAUAACAUCGUGAUGAGAUCUCUAUAAACGAAUACACCAUGCAAGCUUAUCUUUUAAGGUUCUAGGGAAUUUCAUUUUCAGAUUUGAAGAGAUGGAGAACGUUUACCGAUAGUGAAGACUCGCUUCAAACCUCCCUAUAAAAAGAAAAAAGUUGUGCCCAGCAGCCACAAGGUCUCUGAUACUUAAGUGGGAGGGGGAGCAACACUGAGAAAGAGGAGUUUUGUGUGUCCUACCACUUUGUGAUAUCGGGGAUUCCUUUUGUAGAUGUGGCCUCUAGAGAUCAGUUGGGGCUGUCCAUGAGCAUGGGGGCAUUAAACACUAGUCAUUCCAAAUUUUGUUGAUAAAUUAGGUCUGGGAGAUUAACAAUGCCUUUCAUAAUAUUUCAAUGCCUAUUGCUUUUAAUGAAAUUGUUUUCUAUGAAAGUAUCUUAUGGAGAAUUGGUAUUAUUGGGAGAAUUGUUUGUUAACUACUUUUUUAAGAAGAAUUAUAAGUGAUUUUUUUUUUUAAUUUCUUAAAAUUAUUUUAAAAUUUUACUUAAACAUAUUUUUUUCUUUAAAAAAACUUUUUAUGCUAGAAACAACUUUUUAAAAAAAAAAACAUAUUUUUAAAAUAAAAAUGUUUUUUAAAAAUAUUAUCAAAUGGACUCUAAUUAGCUUGCUCGUUGGAUUCAUGUGACAUCCCAGGCGACAAGUCCCCACAUAUUCCCCUCUUUCUUUAGUGCCUAAGGCUUCCAUGGGGUGGGAAAACUAUCUCAUUCUUUCAUGUGGAGCCACCUAGGUAAAUUGAUUUUGAACUUGCAUGAGGAGCUACCUACGAGGAUUGCUUUUGAAUUUGAAAGGGCUCCCCCCCACCCCCCAAAAAUAUAUUAUGUUGUACAAACAAAAUAAUUAUUUUUAUUAUAUUUUGGUAAAGUAGUAGGUAAAUUGAUUUUGAACUUGCAUGAGGAGCUACCUACGGGGAUUGCUUUUGAAUUUGAAAGGGCUUCCCCCCCACCCCAAAAUAUAUUAUGUUGCACAAACAAAAUAAUUUUUAUUAUAUUUUGGUAAAGUAGACACGAUUUUAAUGUAUUUUGUUGAAGUCAUAACUUGAAGACAUGAUUUUAAUGUACUUAGUUAAAGUUGUGGCUUGAAGACAUAAUUUUAGCAUAUUUUAUUAAAAUCAUGUCUUUAAAAUAUGAUUCCAAUAUUGAAGACUUUAUUAAAAUACAUAAUAAUAAUAGUAAUAUAUAAUUUCAAUAAAAAAUAGAAAAAACAAUAAUAAUAAAUUAAUUUAAAUAAAUAUAUAUAUAUAUUAGAUAAAAGAAAAAAAUGAACUAAAGUUUGUCUUGAAUCCACAAUUCCAUGAUAAUACAUUGAAAUCGUGUCUUCAAAAUAAUAUAAUCAUGUUUUCUUGAAGAUUUCAAAAGAAUAUAGUAAAUGGUGUUUUUGAAGACACAAAUUCACGGUAAUGCAAGAUAUGAUGUCUCACAUUGAAUAUUGAUAGGGAAGAAAGUUAUUGAUACUAUAUAAAUAUAGACUCCUCUUAAUAAUACAUACAUGUUUUUAAGUCGUGAAGAUCCUUUUAGGCCUAUAGCAAACAAUAUUUACAUAGUUAGGUACGAGUUGUUACAAAUAACAUCAGACCUUAUUCUCAACUCUGAUACGAGAGUUUAUUUAGUCUAUUAUGCUUGCAUGAGGGGUGUUUAUGAUGUUUCAUAUCAGAUAGGGAAGACAAUUUUUGACUCUAUAUAAGUAUUAACUUCUUUUAAUCAUGUAGACAUAUUCUUAAAUUGUAUUAUAAAUAAAUAUCAACACAACUUAGUUGGGCAAAGUGGAAAAUUUUUAAUAGAUAUGGGCAAAUUUCCAAAUAAUUGUGGCAAAACUUGAAAUUGAGAAAACAAAAUGACGAUCAAUGAAGAUUUCUUUGAUUUUUUAGAAGUGGCACAAAAUAGUGAUAAGAAAGAGAAGGGCAAUGAUAACGAUGGAUUGAGUCUUUUUUGUAGUGGUCAUUGUAGAGGUCACCAAGCCAAGAGGUGGUCCGACUUCAAGUUUCUGGGCCUUGAAGCGAUGGUCCACUAGGAUGAGUAAAAGGAAGGAAGACAAAGAUGGAUGGUUAGAUUUUUUUUAUUUUUUUAUUUUUCUUUUUCUUUUUUUCUUUUUAAUUUGAAAAGAAAUUUGAGAUAGUAUAUUGUGGGGUAUUUGGGGUUGAAAACGGAUUUUUGUCCAUAUAGAAGUCCAACAUGGAUGAAACUUCCAUAGAUCUAAAAUUAUUUUUUGAAAAAUUGUACUUUAGAAAAAAAAUUUCAAAAUAUCCAUACUUUUACUGAAAAACUGAAUUUGAAAAUAAGAUAAUUUGCACAAUUAAGGUGGGCACGCCCAUCUUCUUCUCAUGCCUCAUUCAAUUGAAGGGCCAAGAUACCAUAUUUGGGAUGCUACUAGCUAUCAUUCGCAGUAUGGAUGCAUUAGUCCAUGAAAUUUGUGGAUAACUUCGGAUUCAUUGGCUAAUGAUGGUUGGAGUGGCCAGGGGUUGCUUCUCUAGAUCCACGUGUCAUUGGUGGGGGUGGGCGCGAUGAGUGCUCAACACUCGACCAUCUUUGUGCGAGGAGGAAUGUGUCCAAUAUCAACCACAUUGUGCAAACAAGUUUCAUUGGAAGGGUUUAAGAGAAGUGAGAAUGAAUAUUCUAGAAGGUUUAUAUCACUAAGUACGACUCAUGAUUUAGACAAACAUCCCAUAUACUUGGACCUUAACAAACACCCAUAAUUAAUUCUUUUCCUCCGCCAAAAGCUUUUCACCUUUGGUGGGAUAGUGGGGAAAUACAAGCACACCAGAAGCUCAACACAAAGCCCACACUAGCUGAGCCAGCCCAGUAGGUGGUUCUUCAGAAAAUGACUGGUUGGACAGAGGCCCAAAGUGAGAGAGGGGCCUUAAAAGAGUGGAGAGCUGGUCAUCUGGACCAUGAGACUUGUACGGAAUCGUUCCCAAAUAUGCUAUUUUGCUGGGAUGUUCUUAUAUCAUCAUUUAUAUUUUUAAUGUUUUGUAUUCACAAUCUCCUCCUUUCCGGUUCACAUUGAGGGAUGUUUUUUUAAAAAAUUAUUAUUUUAAAAAAUAUUAUUAGAAAAAAAAAAAUGAAAGAAGAAAAAGAUCAUAUUAUAUUUUAUUAAUUUAUAUAUUUUUUAAAUUUUUAUAUUUUCUAACUUUUUAUAUUUUCCUUUUAUUCUAAAAAUAACAAGAAACUUCUAUUUAGAAGUUAUUUUUCAAUUUUCACUUUAAUUUUUAUGUCCAUAAUGUUUUCAAAAAUUAUUUUUAAUUAUUUUAAAUAAAAAUUUUAUUCACAAACUUAAUAAAAUAUCAUUUUUAAUUAUUUAUAUGUAUAAAAAGUAUUAUUUAUAUUUUUAAUUAUUUUUUAUAAUAUUUUAAUAAAAAAAUACUUGAAAAUAGUUCAAAUUUGUUUUAAAAAUAUAAUAUUUUUAAAAUAAAUUAUUUCUAAUUAAAACUUUGUGAAAGUGAUUAGUAUGCUAUUAAAUUAAAAUUUAUUUCCUAUUUUUAAAAUAAAACAUUAUCUUUAAUAACAAUUUCCAAAUAACCCAUAAAUAUUGCAUUUGACAAUCUCAUCUUACUUAGUCCAAUCCGUAGCCUAACAAUCUCAUUUUUUUUUGCUUACUUUUGAGAAGUCUCAAUUUGACUAAGUAAACAACCUCCGGCUAUUGUAUUCAAGCAUAUAGAAAACUCCACUUUAUUUUUUAGGAGUUUCCGUUGGAAGAUGUGUAGGUACUUUGAAUGGGUGAAUGAAUUUAACCCAUUAUUGAAACCUAAAAGUCUCAAGAAGCCAAAAUGUUUUGGCUUAUUGAAGGUGAACAUUCUUUUUCUCCCUUUUAGAGUUUAUAUAAAGAAAGACUUAGACUCUCUUUAGAGGUUAAGUUUUUUAAUUUUGUUGUCAAAAUCAUCAAACAUUUCUUUCCUUCUUUCGUUGUAAUAGAAUCAAACAAAAUUUAGUUCGUUAGAAGUGGUUACAAGGUGUUGUUAUUGCCAUUUGAAAACCAUUUUAUCUUGGGAGAUAGAUGUUUUGUAAUUCUCAAAGUACCAACGGAGAAGAUAAAUUUGUUUUAAGGAUAUUAUAGCUUCGCGAGACUUUAUUUAAAACUUAGAAGGAGAAUGAAAGAAUUAAGAUUAGACUUUAUUUAAGAAAAAAAAAUGUUGUAUCCAUGAAGCUUUCAUACAAAUAUUGCUAAUUGAAGAACUAAAGAUAAAACAAUCACACACACGAUACACAAGAUUUUAAUGUGAUUUGACCAAUUAUGUCUACAUCUAAGGAUGGGAGAAAAUUUGACCAAUCAUAACUAUUAAGUUCCAAAACAUUUCAUGUUUUCUUACUUCUUAUAUUCACACAUUGAACCACAAGUCUUCUCGUUUUAUCGAGUAUCUUAUGUUUUUUCUCACAUCCCUAUUUACCUUGUAUAAUCUCUACAUCCUCAUCUUCAUCUCAUAACUUUUUCCCUUCACAAUGUAGAAUAGUUAUUAAAAAAUUAGAUACGUUUGUGACAAAAUACCAUAAGACUACCUAAACAAAUAAGCAACAAAUGAAGGAUGAUGAAUGAAAGGGAUGGUCAUGGAGGGACCAUUCAAAAAAAGGGUGAUGGAGAAGGAUCAUAAAUAUGAAUAUUUCCUAAAGGUUUGUGUCACAUUCACUUGGGCUUACAAUAUACUAAACAAUGGCCAUGCAUACUAAAAAAUACAUGCAGCUUCUGGCACAUUAAUUAAAUGUGCUUGGUGAUAAUCAUUGGAUAGAAAGUCGCAUAAGAAGUUAACCUUCCUAUAUAUAGAAGUUAAAUAACCAAUCUUUUAUUACAAUGCCCAUAACCCUUCCGUCACUUUAUUGCCUUAAACAACAAAAGUGUCUUCUAUAGUGAUUGUUCAUUUGUGGGCUCCUACAAAAUGUGCAUAUUAAUUCAUCAAUCUACACUACCAGAAAUAUUUUUUAUAUAUUUUUGUUGUUUAUAAAAGAAAAUUUCUAUGUCAUUUCCUUUUCUUUUCAUGAUGUUUGUAAAGAUUCAAAGUAAAUGGUCCAAUUGGUUUCAUAAAGGAUGAGACCAUGGGAGGACUUUGAAAAGGUAAAGAAGGAAUCCGUCUAUCCCGUCAUGGGUCAAUUCUACAUUAUUUCCUGACCUCCCUCGAGUGGUUUCAUCCAUGGACCAUUUUUGAAUUUUCUUCGUUUCAUCAAAAUUGGGGAAUAAUUUCUAUUUAAAUAAUCAUUCUUUUUUGAAAAUCAAUAUAUACACAUUUCAUAUUUAAAUUGUUGAAAUAAAAAAAAUAAGAAAUCAAUUUCAUUCUUGGAUUAUUUUUCGGGAUAAGAGUAAAAAUUAAAAAAUCUAUUUGAAAUCUGAAAUAUUAUUAAUAAUUUUUUAAUAUUUUUAAAUUAAUUUUUAUAUCUAAAAUUUUAUUUUUAACCAAAAGGCAAUUAAUUAAAUAUUAUUUUAAAUUUGUAAUUAAUUAAUAAUAUUUGGUGAUAAUCGAAACUUAAAAAGUUAAAAGCGAAUUUUACAUAAAGCAUCGGAAAGAGGGAAGGAAAAUUCCGAUAUUGAGAUCGGAAGAGCACAAGUGUGGAAGAGAAUGAUGGUCUCCAUACCAUAUUUGAGCGUUCAAGCAGAGCGUCCAACACGUUCCAGGACUCGACGAUUCCACCUUCAAAUGUAAGGGCUUAUAAAUCUGCCAUGCGAAAACCUGCUGCUUCUUCACCAAUUUCCCAAACCCAAUACGCCAAGAUCUCGAUUCUUGUUGGAGAUCCCAAUUGCACCACCUCUAGAGUUUCGAUAUGACCGGACCCCAUCAAUCUUCUGGCGCUCACAGCAUCAGGGAUACCAUCUGUUACGCCGCUUCGGGUGCUGCUGCAGGUGCGUUCACUUUUAGUUGUGUGUGUUCUUUUUUUUUUGGUUUCAAUUUCGAGCUAUUUUGUGAUAUGUUUUGUGGGUUCAGCUGGGGGUUGAUUAAAUUUAUGCGAGAAUGUGAAAUUUACCCUCCUUUUGGUUCCUCAGAAAGUAUUUUCCAUUCUUUUUCCUUGCUUGGGUACAUUGUAUCAUCGAUUUCAUUCCGUGAAUUGUGAAAAAUUGGGGUGAUUUUAAUUCAUUUGAUGAACUGAGUGAAAAUUUUUCUUGUUUAGCAUGUGAAAUUGAAGCCUUAACGGGAACGCAGUUGAUGAUCUAACUUCACAAGUGUGAUUUGUUUGCCUUGUAGGUGCAAUUGCUGCCACUUUUGUCUGCCCAUUGGAUGUGAUCAAAACAAGAUUACAGGUCCAUGGCCUACCUGAAGUUCGGCAUUCUGGCGUCCGAGGCAAGCUGUAAUUUGUAUUUUGCCUGGAUUUUGUUAUUGAGUGGUAAUAGGAUGUUCUAUUUAGCUUUGGAUAUUAAGAAGCCUUUCAUGAAUUCAUUUUUCUGAAAGGCUUUUGGUUGAAGUUACUUGUACAAGUUUGGAAUUGGACUCUUGACCAAGUAUAUGAAUUUUAUGCCAAUGAACGUGGAAGAAUUGGGUAUGGGAGCUUGGUUUCCAAUAAUCAGCAGUGUUCUGCUUAUUCAGAGAUGCAUUUUUGUGAUUUUGAAUGGAUUCAGUUCUUGAAAAAGGGGGGAAAACAUUAACAAAUAUGAAAGACACAUUGACAAUUGUGGUUAUAUCACGACAUACCCAUACCAAAUUACUUCGUCAAGACCCAACACUAGCUAUGCAAUUCUUAGCCUAGAGGCUGGCGAAGCUAAUGUAACAACAUAUUGCAGUACAGUCAUGUGUACAAUGACUUUUUUUAGUAGAUUAGGCUUUAUUUAUUCAUUGAGUUAUUUUAUCUCUGAUCUCAUUAACCGUUGCCUCUCUCUCCCCUGCUCCCCCUGUUUUUUUCUAGUAAAUCAUAAGGUAGACAAAUCUUAUAGGAAUUAUAAUUUGUAAAACAUCUCCUUACUGCCCUAGCUUGGUGCUUAUUCAUCUUCUAGAUACUGCUGCUUUCCACAUGCCUACUCUGAAGGAUUAUGUGAUAGGACUGGUGGAUUUUGUUACUCUCCUCUUCUCGAUGCAUGCAUUUUCUAACUGUUCUCUGCUUUUGUUUAUCUUUCACAUGCAUUGCUUGAUGACUGUAGGUUGCUUUGCUGACCCUAUUACAGUAGUUCCAAAUUAGGAAUUUAAUGAAAAUAGUUUAGACACUUUCCUUUUCACUAUUUUCAUUUGAUUUUUAGUUCAAAAAGUGAAACGUGGAUUGAACUUUUUCUUUUGUUCUUCUUCGUUUCUGUAUGGGUCAAAAUGCCACAUUUUUUUAAUGCUCUUAUUUUUUGGCAAAAAGCAGGUAGCGUCAUUAUUACAAGCCUAGAAAACAUAAUAAGGACAGAGGGUUUGAAGGGAAUGUAUCGUGGCCUUUCGCCAACAAUAUUGGCACUACUUCCUAAUUGGGCCGUGAGUAUUACUUUUCUUGAGUUCCUUCCAAAAAAGAAUCAGUAACUGGGACCUCUUCUGUCAUUGAAGGAGGCAUUUCAUCUUUGAAUUCUUUCUUGAUUUGUUAUAAACAUGUGGUUGCUAGUUUUCCCUUAAGAAUAAUUUUGGCAUUCUUAAGAGGAAUUUUGUGAACUAAAAUGAAUUCUAGAUUUUGCUUCACAAAGCUAUAUUGUCCCUUCUCCAUCAUUUGUUUCUUAUUAUAUAUUUCUCUUUUAAAGAGAAUUCUUGUGUCGAGGAAUGAUUUGCUUUCCCUAUUAAUUUGGUUAGACAGGAGUAACAAGUUUAAAUAUACUUAGCGAAAUUGAAAAGAUGCUUUAUUUAAUAAGUAAGAAGGAAUUUAUUAGUAAAGGCGCCUAAGAAAAGGGGGCAAAACCCACAGGCACUGGAGGUAUACAUUGAGUGCCCAAUGGGGCUGAAACGCAACACCUUGAAAAAUUUAGCGAGGAUUCAGAUUAUCUAUGAAACCCAACAGAGACACAAAGCCUACAUCCAAAGACUUCUUAGUUCAUAAGAAUGGAGAACGAAUAAAAGACUCCUUUCAAGCUUGAACCAACUGUUCCAAAUUCUCAAAAGUCCUCCAAUUCUGCUUCCUCCAUAAUGUCUAAAACAAGAAAAGGAGAGCUGCUAACCAACUUUUCUAUGAUCUUUCCCAACCAAGCUCCCAUGACACCCUAAUAAGACCUCUUUGACUGACCCAGGAAGAACCCAAGAAAGACCAAACAAAGAGAGCAGAAAACCCCAAAGAGUGCCAAUAUGCUAGUGGAUCAGAACAUCGUUGGCUAACUCUUCCUCAUUCUUACACAAGCAACACCAGUUUGGGAAAGGCCACCCCCUCUUUUCUUCAAUUGAUCUCCCCACUUUUAAGAUUUUUCCAAGUGUACACCGGUGUGUUUUUUUUCUAUUCUUUUCUUUUUUUGCUGGGACACAACUUGAAUUAAAUUAGGGGUAUGCGCUCAGUAUUGGAACUCACACUACGGGCACUUUUUUUCUAAUCUGUUGCUGGGAAUCUGUCAGAUUGGAAUGAGAAUAGCCUAGUUGGAAUCCAUGUUUUAUUGAACAUUUGAAGGAUUGAAAGAUGGAGUAGGUGAAUGUUUGCUUUGUGAUUCUCUAUGAGUGAGAGGAAAUAGUCAUUCUAUGUUGCUUUGGAAGGGAUUGGGGUGGUGGGGUUUAGUGGGGGUGUGUGUGUGUUUUUACCCCUUUGAUCUCCAGUGUGGUCUGAAAUAGCUGGAUACCUGCUAAGGUUCAUUUAGUUGUUUGGAUGGCAUCUUCAAACAAGAUUUUAACCAUUGAUAAUCUGGUGCAUUGGGAUCUGGUGCUUCCUUAUGGGUGUUGCAUACAAUGUUGUCAAAUACAUUUUCAUGGGUGCUCAAUGACCACUAUGAAGCUAACCUCUUUGUCUAUCACUUGUUCUCAUGGAUGUACUGCAACUGAUUCAAGAUUACUUUUAUGAUGCUUUUUGUGGGUUACAGUUUUUUUUCCUUGUUUUGCUCCUUUUUCCCCUUUAGAGCAUACUGUUAUCUGUUUUUUUCCUACAAAUUUGUGAGCCUAAUCUGCCACUUGAACAUAUUUAUUCUAUUUGUUUCCUCAAAAUCAACGUUGAUAUUCAGGCUAUAGAUUUGACUCAUUUAUACACAACUUUUCUUCUUUCAUCUGCCUUCAACAAAGAUAUGCAGAAUAUCAUCCUAUUUUCUUUAUAUUCUCCAAGUGACAGAAGUGCUCAUUUCUCAUGUAGGUGUACUUCACAGUGUAUCAGAAAUUAAAAGACGUACUGCAUUCCCAUGGUUUGUUUCUUAAGAUGUUCCUACCUUGAAAAAUGCGGUUUUGUUUUUCUUGGGCUUAUGUCAGACACAUUACUUCAUUUUCUAAGCUUUGAUAUCCUACAACCUAUUGAGAUUGGUGAAGUUUGUUGUGUUGGUUGGUUGGUUUGAUUGCUUCAAACAUUUCUAUUGCAAUGCUGCAGUGGAUAGCAGCAGUCAACUUACAAUUGGUGCAAAUGUGAUAGCUGCUUCAGGAGCUGGGGCUGCCACAGCAAUUACAACGAAUCCAUUGUGGGUUGUUAAGACCAGACUCCAAGUAAGUUAUGCAUCACUGUGUUCUGAUUCCUUCUGAUACCUAUAGAAGAACAUCGUAAGAUGUUUCUCAUAUUUUGCUCAUCUCUGUGGUCCCUUCCAUUGGUAUGCACAUAAUAUAACUUAGAAGUUAGACCACAUAUUACUAAACUUCCAGCAUUUUAAUAUUGAAGAGAACAAAUGUUUUGUGAGAUAAGCGGGAAUGAAGGAUAUACACACUCAGGAGAUCCUAUAAAUAUGAUGCUUGCUACUCUUUGAACAGGAUAAGAUUAAUUUUGUUAAUCUUUGUAUUUUGUUGCCUUAAUUGCUUAAUAGUAAUAUGCUCCUGAGCUUAGUAUUGUAUUAGAAUAUUGAAAUAUUAAACAAAAUGGAAUACUAUAACCUAUCAACAUAAGAUUAUGCUUGCUGUUACAUUAGUUUCAGACACAUGCAACAGGUCUAAAAUGUUGUUUUGAGGCAUCUCUUGGAAGAUGUAAGUAAGUUGUGUUUGGAUCAUGGGAAGUUUGAGCUAAUUAUGAGUAAAAAAAACGAUAAGGAGGGAAAAGGUAAGGGAAAAAAAGUCCAAGCUAAUGAAUAAUUAUAAAAUAUUUUAUGGAGAAUGAAUAAUUUGAAAAUAUUUUAAUUAUAAAAUAAUUUUCAUUAUAUUUUAUUGUCUUUUGCAUUUUCCUUGUUAAACCCAAUCAGAGAGUUAGAGGUUCCUUUCAACGGAAUUAUGCUGGAACGCCAAUUUGUUGUAAAUAAUUCUCUAUAAUAGGAUAUUCAUAUUGGGGUGCAUGUUGUGUUAUUUCUUGUAUUUUUGGGACACCUUACUUAAAAAUACACCUUCCUACUUUCUAUCCUUUGGCCUUUGGUUUAUCCUCCAUCCGCCUAAUCAUUUUGUAAAUUUAGUCUGUAUCAUCUGAGUCAUAAAACUAUCUUAUCUAUUGGCUUGAAAUGCAUUUCCUAUUAACUAAUGUACAACUGCUUGUUAGAUGGAAUCUCUUCCACAGAACAAUGCCUGAACAAGCUACUAGAAAAUGGAAUCCCCAGAAAAAGUGCACAAAUUAAAUCUCUCUAGAUAGGCAGUAAUCUGAUAGUUACACUAAAAAUCUCUAAGGUUCAUCUUUCUUAUCUAGUUAUCAGAAUUGACUAAUUUGGGCAAUACAUGAACUAUGGUUGAUGCUUAAUCAAUCAAAUUAAAUAGGAGGUAUAUCUCUCCAGGCCACUUUCAUGUGAUCCUUAAGAAGAUCUAGUAUUUUUACCAAACAAGAAUUCUUGUGUUGGAAGGCUAGGGGUAAAAAGAGGUUAAACUUCCAUCAUUUAAUGUGGGGUGCGAAUGUUAACCAUCAGAGUGAUAAGACCUAAGCAUUUGUUAACUAUGUAACAAUCAACCAUUCCCUCAUUAAAAUCCCUCUCUGAUAUUUGCUUCUCUAAUUCCUCAUCCUUACUUUUCCAUUUUUUGUGGGCACUAGGAAUGGAGGCAACAAGAUUUUGAAGUUUGAUGCCCUAUUGUUUUGCUGAUAAAUUCAUGCCCUUCAGUCUUUGAACCCAAAACCCUAGUAAGAAAGAGUGCUACCUAAGCAGAAAGGGUAGGGUGGGAAAACUGGGUUGAAACAGUAGAAUAGUUGAUAUUAUUCAUUUAUUGCACCUUUACCUCAAUUCUGAACCUGUUGUACUAUUGCUUUCAUAACAUUUUUGGUUAUUUAUCCCCUUUUGUUCCCAAAACCAUUGCUAAACAUUUUUUUUUUCUGUUUGGAUGUUUGAAGCUUUGCUGCUGCAUGAUGGUAUAAGAGUAAACUGUCCUAGAUAUUCUCUGAAAAGCUUGGACAUGGUUUAUAAAAAGGAUGUCUCAAAAGAACUUUUUUUAUGCGAUACUUUGAUAAAGAUUGUGAAUCAGUGACAAUAACCCUACCAAACCAACAUAUCUUAAUGCUUUAUCAUAUCAUUUUGAUUUUGUUUUGGAUAUUCAUUUGUUUUAUCCUUGUUUAGACACAGACAAUGAGGCCAAAUGUGGUUCCUUACAAAGGCAUAUUUUCUGCUUUGAAAAGGAUUGCACAAGAGGAAGGCAUUCGAGGAUUGUAUAGGUCAGUGUCUCUUUGUUUAAUGUUCAAAAUGUAAUUGUGGAGAUUAAUUGAGCCUUUGGUAUCCAUAAUCUGAAACCCUAAAAAAUGAAACUGCAAAUUGAUGCAACUUGUCAUUCUCUUUUCUUUCUUUAUUAUUUUUUUCUUCCUCUGCCUUUUUAGACUUAACCUGAAUAUAAAUUUACAAAUACCAAGAAUAGCCCAUUCUUGUUGGAAAUGUUGGCGUGCAAAAGGUCCAUACUUUUUAUUUUUUUUGAAUUUUGGUAGAAAUAUUUUGUUUAGUAGUUUUGGUGUCAUAAUGCCAUUGUGAUGCUUUCAACAGUGGCCUUUUGCCUUCAUUGGCUGGAAUAACUCAUGUUGCCAUCCAAUUUCCAGCAUACGAGCAGAUGAAGUCCUAUUUAGCUAAAAUGGGUAAUAUGUUUGAUUUUUUCUUACUUCUUAAUCACGGGUAGAAGAAUCUUGUGUAAUUUUUUGUUUUGCUGAAGUUCAGGUGAUACCACAGUUGAUGAACUAGGUCCUGGGAAUUUUGCAAUUGCCUCAUCCUUCUCUAAAGUACUUGCCUCCGUGAUGACUUAUCCCCAUGAGGUUCGUUUGUGCUGGAAUACCAUAAUAAACUGAUGAAGGAGAAGGUCUAAUCACCCAAAAGAUUGGAUCUUUUAUACUGUUGUUUCUACCAUAAUGUUUGACUUUCACAUCACCAGGUUAUUCGUUCAAGGCUGCAAGAGCAAGGGCAGGUCCGGAAUUCAGAGAAGCACUAUUCAGGUGUUAUUGAUUGCAUUGAGAAAGUGUACAGAAAGGAAGGUCUUCCUGGUUUCUAUCGUGGCUGUGCAACUAAUCUAUUGCGGACAACUCCAUCUGCUGUUAUAACUUUCACCAGUUUUGAGAUGAUUCAUAGGUUUUUACAGCGACUUCUACAUCCGGAUGCAAAGCAUUCAUCAGCCAACCCUAAUUCUGAUGGCCAUAUUAAACCUCAGCGUGAAAAUGGGAGAACCGUAGUAGAACAAAAUGACUCCAGUGUAAGGCAGUCACAAGCUCAAUCUACUAGUAACAGAACUCCAAUUCCUAUUGGAAACAAGGAGCAGCUACCUGCAAGCCACUGAUUGAUUAGUGUUUCUUGUCAACCUUAUUUACCCCAUUACAGAAAUUUUCUGCAAAACUGAUUAGGUUAAGCCACUCCAGUGUGAAGCUGAAUAAAAUGAGAUCAAUUUUUUUAUUUGGCGUGAGAAUUGUAUAUUUAUGUAGCUUUUUUUUUUUUUUUUUCUUUCCAAUUUAUUUUGUGACAUUCAUCCAUUUUGCUGCAAGUUCUCUGCUUAUUUUCAAUUUUAUUUUGCUUUCUUUUGAGGUCUAGACACUUAGUAUUGUUCAUUUCUUGACGACCAUAAAGAAAACAAUGUUGUUGGAUUAACUAUUAUAAUUUUAUAAAAUAUUAUUAUUUAUUUUUCUAAAAAAAAAAAUACAAUUUAUCGAUUUAUUAAAAUGUUAAUAUGAAUGUUUUAUAAUUUCUAUUAAAAUAUUAGCUUUCUUUUUAAUAUAGAAAACAUAUUUUACAUAUUUAUUUAUUAUUAAUAUUAUUGUUUACAAAAUUUACAUUGUUCAUUUUAGAAAUUAUUAUCUAUUUUUAUUUAUUUUUUAUAAUUUAAUAUUUAUUUUAGAGUAAAUCAAAAUUUCUAUGAAUUUUUUAAACAUUAUAAUUCAAUGUUUAAUUUUUAAAAAUAUCAUUAUUUAUUUCUAUCGAAAACAAAUAUAAUUCUAAUAUUUAGAUAAUGAAUUUACAAAUUUUGAGAAAGUUUGUAUAAAAGGUAAAAUAUUUAUACAUAGAUAGGCUAUUGUUUUAACGGCAUGUAUGAAAAAUAAUUUUAAAUGAAGAAGUUAAUUAUAAUAAUAAAAUUAAUUAUUGUUUUGCAAUUAUUUUAGGUUAAUUAUAAAAUAUGAGUAAAAAGAUUAUAAAUUUUUAAAAAAUAAAAAUUAAAACAAAGGUUUGAAUAUACUCUGACCUUCACUUUUAUGGGAUUGGGCAUAAGGGGAGAGGGGUUUUAGAAUUUAAAAUUUAGAUCAUAUCUUAAAGAUUAUCAUUUAUGGGGGGAAUCACUUACCCAAAAAGCCAUCAACAAAAUUCAUUCUUUUGAGGGCGUGAAGGAAGAGGAAACCCAUGUAAAUUCUUGAUGCUAUUCAAUCAGAGAAGAUACCACACCUUUAAGCCCAAUGGGGUGCAAUCAUUAUUAUCUUAUUUUGAUUUCUGGGGUGGCUUUCUUUCUUUCUUUCUUCCACUUUCAAUGGAAAUAUCUGGGAAAAUCAGCCCUAAAUCACUUUUCCCAGAAACCAAAAGAAAAGAAGUAGCUUAUGUCUUCCUCCUCUGGUCCCUGGAGAAAAGUGGGGUCAUGGUCUAAUGGUGUGUUGAAUCAUCCAGAACCAUUGAAUGGUCGCAUCAACUCCCUCACCACUUUACCACUUUUCCCACUAAGUUGCGCCGGUGAAUUGCAGCCAUCCCAACAAAAUACCCACCCAAAGCAUCAUCCUCCCGCGAUUUCUGAUUAAAGUUCACGCCCAUCCACGUGCUAUUCUUUACCCAUCACCCCCAUUCUUUCCCAACUUCAAUUUCAAACAUUAAAAAUAAACAAUUAAAUAAACAAACACUCCAAUCUACAACAAUUUCAGAGCCGUACUGGAUUGCCGGAGACUUUCUUUUCCGGCGACUCGAGUUAACCACCAUCAUUAUAUUACAUUUGAAAGCACAUCAUUCACAAUUUUUCUUUCAAAGGAAGACAUUAACGAGUAUUGACAAAAAGUUUAUUUAUUUAUUUUUUUUUUAUUUUCUGUGUUUUCGAUAAUUUACUCUGGAAUAGUGACGAGAACAGGACGCCACGCCCUCUUGAUGAAUCGAUGCCGAAACCCCAACCAGACCGGCCUCGGAGAAAGCGGAGCAGCUCCUAAACCGUCGCCGCUGAUAUCUUCUCCAUUCAUUGCUGACGGAAACGCUUCGCUUUUGUUCUUCAUCUUCUCCGCUACCUUCUUGGUAUCUUCGUCCAGCGGCGGCGAAGACACAAACAGGUCCUUCAGAGUGCGGCUGCUCGAGUCCUUGCUCUUCUUGUUCUUUUUCUUUUCAGCAAUUUGUCGAUCGGAGAAGUCCCGCCGCCGUGGCGUGCGGCCGAGCAGCGUGCGGAGUGUUUUGCGGCGGCGGAGUUGGAUGAGAGGACUGGAGGUGGGGCUUGGGGCAGGAGCGCCACACUGAGUGGCCAUGAGCUUGAAUUUCUGUAACAUCACCAUUAUUGGAUUCGUUUGUGACUAAGCUCAAGAUCGGAAUUUGAAUAUCAGGGAAUCAUAAACGAGGGCGGCGAUUUUGAUGGAUUGGCUGAGAGGGAAAGGGUUUUCUGGCACUGGGUUGCAUUGUAUUAUCUAUCUACUGUUAAGAGUCUGUCUCGCUGGUUCGAUUUUCUCUCCUUUUUGUAGACUUCGAGGGGUGCUUGAACUUCAAGCUGAACGUGAAUGCCUUUUUUUCAAAGUGAAAAUUAUACAAAUAGGUCUAAUUCUGAAUCCAUUGAAUAUUCCGUGGCCCAAUUUCUACACAAAUCGGAAAGCCCAAUGGCAAAAAUAAUUCGCCCAACAAUAUGAAAAGAGUAACCCCUAAUAGCAUAGUUGAAAACUAUUUUUAUAUAUUAAAAAUUUAUUUUAAAAAUAGAGUUGUGGAUGAAUCUCAACUAUGCAUUAAACCUAAGAAUAAGGUUUUGGAUGAAUCUAAAUUAUAAAUUACACCUAAAAUGGAGAUUUUAAUUAGUAUUUUUAAGGUUCCCUAAGAUUGAUUCAAAGGCAAAAUAUGGCGCAUCAAUACUCUUCCAAUAAGUAAAAUAACACAAUUAACAUGCUAAUGUAAUGAUAUUAUCUUAUUUAGUUUUCGUCGAGUUUCAACUACUCUAAAUACAAAUCUAAAUGUCUUUUACUUUAAAUAAAAACCAACCCAAAAAUCAUUGAAUCAUUUUAAGAUUACACAAUCAAACUUGAGCUCAAAUUCUCUACUAAUAUAUUCUUUAAAAUAAGUUAUUUUUUUUAGCCAAGAUAAACACAAAGAAAAAUAACUAAUGAAGAGAUAGAGAGAAUAAUGCAAUGACAUCGUGAUUUAAUAUGGAAAAUAUUUGAAGAGAUAAAAAACCAUGGGUCCACAAGCAAUCAAAGAUAUUUGCUAUGAAAAACAACAAUUAAGUAAAGGGUUUUCCUUCCCCUUAUUGUCACUCUAUAGAAUCGUACAUGAGAUUUUCACCUCAUACAACUCCUCGUUCAAUUCUUUUGAAGUCAUUGGAUCAUUUUCCUCGUUCGAGAAUCUCUUCCCCUCUUCCACUCCGUCUCGAAGAGUAACUAGGACCAAUUCAGUCACGUUUUCGUGUUCCAAUUGAACACUUUCCAUUUUUUAUUAUUCUCAAAUCAAAGGAGAAGAUUAUUCUUUUUACCAAACAUAUGCAACUCAAGCCUACUAAUUCUUCCUAUACCAUUUGACUAGCACUUUUCAACUUCAACUACCCUUUUUUUGUUAGAGUACACUUGGAAUCCACAUUAAGCUCAAUCUUGAUUUCUUUUAAAUCCACAUAAGAACAAAAUGGAUUUUACCUAAACCCAAUAACCACAAAGAGGAAAUGGAUGGAAGAACCAAAUAAGUUAGUUCAUACUUUAAAACUCACUCAAAAAUUGUUUUGAACUUCAUAAUGGGUUAGAUUUUCUUAGGAAAUAAGUAUACUCACACUUAGAAUGGGAGAUGAGCAUUAUGGAAGUGUGUGAUAGUUGCUAGCAUUCUCCAAUCCUAAAAUAAAAAUUUUGGGUUUAAAUUGGAAGAAAAACCCUUUAUCCAACUUGUUAUGGAUCAACGUUGAAACAAGGCACAAAAAUACUUAUCAAAAAAAAAAAAAAGGCACCCAAGUCUCCUAAACCUUUUUAAAAAGAUUUUCAUUAAUUUGAAAAAGCUAAUUGAUUUGAUUUCAUCCAUCCAGUACUUCAAUUACAUGCCUUCACUUUCAAGCACUUUCAAGCACUUUCAACACCUUGAAGUUCUUCAUUAGGUAAGUAGUUCGAGAGAGGAUUUGGUAGACUGAGUUGGGAGAACACUUUUUUGACCCGAAAUUUCUAACCUAACUAAAUCACUCACAAGAAUGUUGUUAGAAAAAUUAGGUUAAUCCAACUUAAAGUAAUCACCCUAGUGAGUGAAUAGGGUGAUAGUAUCUUUUUGAAAGUUUAAAUUAUAUAAAUGCAAGAGACAAUUAUAUGCAAAUAUAUAAUAAAACAAUAUAAAAACAAUUACGUAUAAAGUAAAAAAAUAGGAAAGAAAAUGCAAAUACAAGAUUUUUAUAGUGGUUCGACACAACCCGACCUACAUCCAUUUUCCUCUAACUUCAAUCCCAAACUUGAGGUUCCACUAAUUCAAAACUUCCAAAUCAAGCCUUCAAGCAAUAUAAUUGAUUAUGUUUUCAAUCAACUCUCUUAGACUUUUGGCUUAAAACACCAUUUAUAAUCCUUAAGAGAUACCUCAGGAUUGAAUGGUGUACUAAUGAUAUACAAGUUUAAGAACAAUGAUGCACUAAAAAACACUGUCGCAAGGCUCAAAUAUAUUCAAGAAAUUUUUAGAAAUGUUAAACUCUUUAAAUAAUGAAGAUUGGAACCUUUUUAUAGAGGAAAAAAAACGAAAUUAGUUGUUGUGAGUUCAUCCGGUCGAGCUUUGGUUCAACUAGCAUUUAAUGUAUGACAGAUGACCAUUGGACCUCAGCCGCCCCUCAACCGGUUAAGGUUCAACCUUGACAGAUUGAACAGACAUUCUGGAAAAGAGAUAAGAUUUUUGCACCAUUCGACUGAUUAAGCUAAAUGUGUCAACCAGUUCCUCAUCCUGUUCAACCGAUUGAGUUGUUUUUGGCUAAACAACCAUAAUUUUCAACUUAAAACCUUUUAAAUAAGAUUGAAAAACAUUUGACACAAAGUUUUAGUUGAAAAUAUGAAAUCAUCUAAUUUUAAAAGAUUUAAAACAAAAUAACUCUUAAAAGAUUUUGGUGCAUAAAUAAAAAAUGUAAUGUAGGAAAAACCUAGUGCAUUAACAACUUUACAAAGAGAUCCUAUGAAGUUUAGGUCUUGAAAAACACUUUUUUUUUAGGUUUUCUUCUUUUUAUUGAUUUCUCUUUAACUUGAUUUUGUCUUUGUGAUUACUACUUUGGAAAUCUUCUUGCCUAAUCACACUUGAAAUAUAAUCAUUAGUUUUAAACUUUGUUUUGUUAUCAUCAAAACUGAGAUUAACUAAACCUUGGUUUCACAAAUGUUUUAUGAGAACAUAUUUUUAUUGUUCAAAGUUGUUCUCAUAUAUUUUCUAAAUAUUAUUUAAAAAAAAUUGUAUAAAAAUAAAGUAUUAUGAAUAAGAGUUAUUUUUAAGAAAUAUUUGAAAACAUAGAAAAAUAUCUAGAGAAUAUUUCAAGUUCUCGAAUAGACUUUUGUUUUAUAAAACUUCAUAAAAUUGAUUUUAAAAAUUGUUUUUUGAUAACUGUUUUCUAAAACAUUCCUAAACAUUUCAUAAAUAUUUCUAUUUUUUUCAUUUGAUGAAUAGAACCCCGCCACUUACUUUGUAGCAUCAUUGGAACUCACCUUUCUUGACAUCAUCUACCCAUGUAAUGCCUCUGCUCAUCUCCCAUCCAAAAAAAAAAAAAAAAAAUCCCACGACCACAAAUGAGACAAUAAGGUCAUGACCAUGGCUGUGGUGGUGAAGUGCACGAGGUGUGUCGAUGGACAAAAGGUGUGUCAACAUUUAAGUGGGUGACACCAUCCUUGAUGUUACUAGCAUCAAUGAGAGAGAGUGGCCUCAUAUGACCAUAAUUAUUGUCCUACCUCCAUCCACAAUGUUGAAACCAUCAUUCAUGAGCUCUCUUCAAACUAAUCGUUACUUAUGAUUUCUACCCAUAAUCUCUUUUUUGCACUUCUCCAAUCUAGUAUGAUCUUCCACAUGUUGACGGUAAUGGAGGUAAUUCAGUGGGCCACAAUAGUGGAGGUGGCAAUGUUAGGGGAUGCGAUGGAGGUUUCAGGUGGUGAAUUGUGAGAAAGUCUCAUAAUUUUAUGAGUUUUUCCUCAAUGUGUGGCGAUCUAGGGUUUUGGCGGAUAUUUAAUUUUAUUCAAGGUUUUGAUAAAAGAGUUAAUUGGAUUAAACACUGCUGUAAUAUGUGACAUUGCUUCUUGGUCGAAUUUUAAGCUUAAUGAGCUCAAUUUCAUCUUCUCAAUCCCUAUGAUUGAUGAUGGACAAUGUGGUGUAUGGCAAAAAUAAAAAUAUUGAAGAAUUGUUGUUUUUGAGUUGUUGGUGGGGAUCCUUUUUGUUAUAGGAGAAUUGUAUUUUUGAGAAUCCUAGUAAUGACCCCAAAUGAUAUAAAUGGUUGCAAAAUUAUCCUUAAGCCUAGCAAUUGAUAUAUAAUUGAGUGGAAAAAUAUGUGACAUCCAUAAUAUCCAAAUACAUCUUUACAUCAAAUAUGAAAAUUGAGAAAACAAAAAUAAAAUAUAUCUUGACAUCAAGUCAUUUCUCUAACCGCGCGCUCUCUCUCUCUCAUCUAUCUUGCGAAUUUGAACACCAAAUAUAAAAAUUAUUUUAUUAUUAGCUCUAAUAGAAAAAAUAAAUAAAAAGAAGUAAAAACAUAAAGAAAUCUAAAAAAUAAUACAAUAAUAUAUUUGAAGUUUUUUUUUGAGAAACAUGUAUUGUAAAAAUGGAAGACUUAGAUGUAUGAAAUAAAUUUUUAUAUUUUAAAAUCUAUUUUUUAUUAUUAAAAUAAUUUUAUAUAUUUGAUAACUUAUUUUUUUUAGAAAAUGAAAAUUUUGUUAAAUUUUAUUGGAAUCAAAUUUUUUUUAUUAUUAGUUUUUUUUUUUUUUUACACCUUUCUCUCAUAUUUUGAUUUAUUCUAUGUACAUAUAUGAUAUGAAAAUUUUUCACCUACUCCAUUGAGUGAAUUAAUGAGAUUCUCCAUAUAAGAAAAUAAAAUUAAUUUAAAAAUUAUCUUACCCAAAUCAUUCUAAUAUUAUUAAUAGUCUUAGUUUUAAAAAUCUAAAAUUAGGUUGAAGGAUUAGAUUAUGUUUGAGAAUUAUGGAACAAUUUUUUUUUGUUUUUAAGAACAAAACAUAAAAAUAAAAAUAAAACCAUGUUUAGUUGUCAAUUGUUCCUUAUAACAUGGGUUUUUGAAAAUUGCUCUAAAAAUAAAGUAUUUUCUGAUAACAUAUUUUGAUUACUUUUUAGUUAUUUUUAUUUGUUUUAAAAAAUAAAUACAAAAAUGAUUGAAAAUAGAGUGUUAUAUAUAACUUUAUUUUUAAUAAAUAUUUAGAAAUAUAAAAAUUAAGUUGGGAAUAUUCUAAGUUUGUAAAUAAAUUUUGUUCUGAAAAAUUUCAAAGAUCAUUUUAAGAAAUGGUUUUUGAAAACAUCAAUCUAAGUAACUUCAUGAUACCUAACAACAUCAAACCCUUAUAAAACAGAACCUAAGUAACUUCAUCAUGAGUUCUCCUCACACAAACCAUUACAUCCAAUUCCCACCCAGAAUCUUCCACAUGUAGAGACAACAAAGGGAAUUUGACGAGUUACAACAACGAAGAUGGUAGUAGUGUUGGGGGGUGGAGGUUCAGGUGGUGAAUCAUGGAGGCUCUCAAAGUUCUAGGGCUUUUUCUUCAAUGAGUGGUGAUCUAGGGUUUUCUUUGGAUCUUUAGUUUCAUUCAAGGUUCCAAUUGAGAAGUUCAUAAAAAUGAGAGCUUACUACUAAGGGAUUUGAUAUCUAUUAGGGCUUUUGAGGUGCAUGCAUGUAAGAUCCUAGGCAUAAUGGAGGUAAUUAAAAAUUAAAACUUUGGUCCUAUAAGGUGCAUGUGUUAGAAAACAUACCAAGUGUUUGAAUGUCCCUAAACCCAAAUCUUUUUAUUUAUUUAUUUAUUUUGUAGAAGAUGUCUCAAAAUCUCAUGAUCUUUUACUCGAUGACUUCUUAUAUCGAUGACUAGUGUCUACAUAUUUCUUUAGGGAGAGAAAUGAAGGCUAGGUAUCUAGAAGACCAAGUCUUUAAAAAAUUAGAAAAAUUAGAGUCAACCCUAAAACCUAUAAAGUUUAUAUAGACUCUCAUGUGGGCUUAAGUGACUUUGGUUUAACUUAAACUUAAGUCAUUUAAUCUAAUUCACUGAAUUUUAAUUAAUUAAUUAAUUGACUUUAAUAUGUUCUAAUUAAUUAAUUAACUGAAUCUAGAUAAACAAAAUUAAUUAAUCAUAAAAUCAUAUGCAACUUGAUAUUUUAACCAAAAUGCCCUUAUAAUAUAAAUGAUUAAUUCUUCAUAAAGCCUUAAAAUAAAUAAUCAUAAGUGCUUGUGCAAUUGUACCAUUUUACUAAAACACUCUUUAUGUACACAUAUGAUUAAAUCUCUAAUUUUCCUCAAAAUUUUAUGCCAAAAAAGACUAUGAGCUCAAAUGAGGACCAUUGAUACUAGUAGGAAAAUAUUGACUCUCUUAAAAUAUAAUUUUGAAGUUGAUUCAACACUCUAUUAAAGAAAGUUAAUUGCACUCUAGUAUCCUAUGUUAUUAUAUCAAGCUAUGAAUUGAUUAAAUCCAAUUUAAUCAAUUCUUCUAGUCCUUAACAUACAAUCCACUAUAUGUAGAUUCUCCAUGAACAGAUGUCUAUAAUCUAAUUAUGAGGUAAAUGCUAUCAACCUUUCAAUAUUACCUCUACAAUCCUUGAGUCUCAAAUCCCUUUAUUAUGUAAUCAACUAACAUAUUUCAGCUUAUGAGGAACAUAUGUCCAAUUCCACUAAAGGAAUUAUUGUGACAUCAUAAAUUUUAUAAUCACAAGUCCUAAUGACCACUCAAGGGGACACGUUGUUUUAAUCUUAUGAGAUAUCAUAGUGUCUCUAUUAAGAAUACAUGUUACUAUUUGUUUUAAUUAAUAAUGAUCUAAUCGAUAGGGAAUAUACGACCACCUUAGGGUUUUACUCAUAAGUCAAAACUAUUGAAAACUUUAGUACUAACUCAAUAUCCUCUCAAUGUUGAGAUUUUAUGCAGUAUAGUAGUUUGGUGAAUUAUAAUUCCUUAAUAACCAAUGUCAUGAUUUAACAUAAAUUUUGUUCAAUGCAUAACAAUGCAUACUAGUACACUCACUAUGAGAAAUUCAUCCUAAUAAUUAAGACAAGACAUUCUUCCUAAUGCGCUAUAACCUUAAAUAGAUUAUUUAUGUCUAGAAACUGACUAUGAAUUACUCAUCAAUUUGCAAAGAACUCAUGACUUGAAUUUUUCAUACAACUCUUAAUGUAUCCAAAUAAUAUAUAAUGCAAAUGAUUUAGACUCGAAAGCUCAAAUAAAUAUCAAUACAGAUAAAGAUAGAUAGUAAAAUUUAACUUUAAUUAUUAUAUUAUAUCUUACUUUUAGAAGGAUUGUCUUAACAUUUACAUCAUUGAUGGCAAUGCAUCUUAGCCAAAUUUCAGACUCAAUGGCCCAAGUUCGUCUUCUCAACUGUUGUUAUCGGAGGAGGUGGUGUGGUAUAUGUUAAAGAGCAAAAACAGAAAUACUGAAGAAUCACUAUAUUUAGAUUGUUGGUGGGGGUUAUUGUUGCCAAUGAACUUUUGGUCCGCAUUGUGUAAAAAAUUAGACUGUCUAAUGUUUUAUAGUUUGAAAAUUUGGAGGUUUUUUUGGGUCUUACAUAAUUUUCCAUUUUUUCCUAGACAGGGAUAACGUGUUCAAAGACACACUAUGCAACAUGGAAUUAGGAUGCACUUUCCCCUGCCACAUCACCAAUGGAGCAUUACAUCAAUUUGAUUUGAUUACUGCCACGUAAUCAUUUGGUAUCAAUAAUCAGAAAAAUGAUCAAAUAAAAAAAGUAAUCAAGUAUUAUCAUUGAAAAGAAUUUAGUGAGAAAAAGAGCAUUAACUCAUCGGAUGAGGUGACUUUUUACGUUUUAUUUGAAUUAAUGGAACGAUUUAAUUGAUCUAUUUUCCCUUUCUCGAUUGAAAACAUGACCCGAUUAAAGGGCUUUUAAGAGCUAAUCAAUGCUUCCCUGUUGAGACAUAACGGAACUUUUAAUCAUAUAACUAGAUCAAAGAUUUCGUAUUCUAAUCAUAAUCACAAGAGACACCAAAGCUUACAAAAUCAAAGCUGGGCAUAUCAACGACAGCUUCUUUUACUUUGCACAUUCUCCCUUCAGGCCUUAAAUCCAGUAGACAAUGAAUCUGAGAUUCAUCUCUGGUACAUGGACAACAAAACAAAGCUACGAAGAUGAGAAAGAACAUUAACCCUUUCAGUUAUGUGAGUUAAAUGUUUCACAUAUUUUUAGCAUCUCCUUUGAAAAAUAAGCAAAAUACAAGGGAAAAGCUAAGCACUGGCGCUUGGUGUAGUAGACCUACUGGCCCAUUGAGCGGUCGUACUAUCUGGUGAUGGCAUCAGCUGGACGCUUUUCAACAACCCCACUUCAUCACAAUCUGGUGAAGGUGGCGGCGGCUCACGCAUCGAUGAUCCAACACUGUCCGCUGCUGCGUCCAUGUUCUCCAAUUCAUGCCUGUUACUCUCAAUUUCCUUCAAAAUCUCCAAAACUUCAUCCAUGGAAGGCCUCAUUUCCUUGUCAGGUUGCAGACAGCGAAAGGCUAAUUCUGCUACCAGAGUAGUCAUCCUAUUAACCGCAAGAUCUGAAUUGAAUCCAAGAUGUGGGUCAAUCAGCUCGUGAAAUGCACAUUUUUGUAUCUUGUUUAUAGCGUAGUUAGACAAAUUGAUCUCAUGCUUAAGCCUACUAAAGUCUACAGCAGGCAGUGAUGAUAUGAGUUCAAUAAGGACAACCCCGAAGCUGUAAACAUCGCUCUUGUCGGUAAGCUGGUGACAUAGGUGAUAUUCUGGAUCAACAUAGCCGGGAGUUCCCUGUGGAGCGGUUGAGACAUGGGUAACAUCAGUGGGGAAGAGUCGUGAAAGCCCGAAAUCUGCGACUUUAACGCAGAAACUAUUAUCCAGGAGAAUGUUCUUAGUUUUCACGUCCCGGUGUACAACAUCAGAAGCAUGGAGAUAACAUAAUGCGCUGGCAGUUUCUAUGGCAAUACUCAAUCGGAUAGGCCAUGUGAGUAAGCCUGAAUCUGCUCGAUUCCCGUGGAGAUGAUCAGCGACUGUUCCAUUGGGAAUAAAUUCGUAAACCAGAAGGAGUUCACGGCUGUGGCGUGAGGUGCAGCCGUAAAGGGAGACAAGAUUCCGGUGGCGCAAACGAGUGAGGAUUUGAACUUCAUUCAUGAACUGUUCAACCCGCCUGUAAUUGUUCUCGUAUAGGCGCUUGACGGCAACCUCUCGCCCAUCUCGCAGUUGUCCUAUUUGACAAAUAUCAAAGAAUAGCCUCUUCAAAAGGGUGACAAAUUUGUCGUUUUAAGUUUUUUUUUUGCUAAGUAUUUUCCUAGUGAUUAGGUGAACUAUUAACAGAAUCACAGUUGUCCAUCACCUUACCAUGGUAUACAGUUCCAAAACCUCCAUCUCCAAUUUCUCUAUCAGGGACAAAAUGAUAAGUGGCUUCUUCAAGUUCACUGUAGGGGAAAAUGGGGAUGCCAAAAUACGUCCCCGUUGUUUCCAAUCCUGGUUGUGAAGAGGGAUCUGAAGAAGUGUUCCUUGAGAGGAAAGUUGAAGCAUACUUCCUUUUAUGGCGCUGUCGGAUGAUGAAACAAAUUAUUAAGAUGGUAAUGCCUCCGGCGCUGAUACCUGUAGUGGGAAAAAAGACAAUAGUCAAACUUAAUGCCAACUACGUUAAUGCUAAGAGAGUUUUCUACCAAGGACAUAUGGAAACAUAUGCAUAGAAGAAUUUAAAGAUCUUAGUGGAAAUCGAUUUUGGAUUCUUAACCCACAAAGAAGAUGGUGAGAAAUUGAAAUUUGAUCAUUACCAAAAUCCCCAAUAAAAGAAAAUUUUCCUUACAUCUAUUACAGAUAAACUCAUUUCAAAUGCUAAAAAGUGCAAGAUUAUGGAUUAAUUGGAUUCAGUUGGUGUCCAAACACAUGCAGAGAGCAAAUAUUUUUAUUUACAAGAAUCUUGCUAAAGAAGUAUAUUACCUGAUCCUAGGGCUAGCUUCAAUCGAUUGUCAUUCCCUGCAAGACAAAUAACAAAUAGCAACGAUAAUAGUUUAAACAGUAAACAUUGUAUUAAUCUACAUCAAAUUGGUAUUCUCCAGAACAUUAAAGAGUACACUCAUAAAAAUAAGAGUCAAAACUUGCUUCUGCAAAUCUAAUAUAGAUUACAUUGCACAAACAACAAUUUUCUCAUACCAGAGCCCUACAGUUAGAAGAGAGGAAUUCAUGCUACAUACAUAGCAACAGGUUUUGUAAAUGCAAAAGAAAAAAAGAGAAGGAAAAAAAAAACCAAGAAUAAAGGAAGGGAAGAGAAAAGAGGAGAGAUUGUUAUGUGUUGUGCACCUUUCACAUGUGCACACUGGAAUUUUCCCUUUUCAUCAUCUUGGCAUUGGCCUCCUCUAUUGAGACAAUUCCAACAGUGUGAGAACACAUUCACUUCAAGAGUGAUAUCAGGAGUCAACAGGGAAUCCAGUUUAGCGAUACCUACAGUACUCAUGUUUACUGGAUACUGAAUAAUUGAACAGCCAGGUGGAGGUGGAGUUGGAGGAAUAUGAUUUGAAUGAUUAUAGUGGAUAAUGUAGUCUUGACAUCUGGUAUAAUUAUACUCUGUAAUAAGAUCAAUAUUGUGACUACGGUGGCAUUUAAACAGGGUUAGUUCGGU
rnacentral:lncRNA from 1 species